UGACUAAUCCCAACUAAAGUUGUGAUACCUCUAAAACAUAAAUUACGAGUUGGUCAAAGAUGGAUGCUUUGGAUCGUUAGAUCCAGAUCCAAUACCUUCUUAUUAAAAUUGUAUGGAGGCGAAAUGUUCGAAUCUUUAUUCUUUUGGAAAGAAGAAAGAAUCACAAAGUUGUUGAGGUUAAUUCACUUAGAUGUUAGUGGGACUUGUCCACAACAUAAUACUACUCAUGUUAUAUGACAUUCACCGAAGAUCACUCUAGGUUGGACUAUAGUUUAUUUUUGAAUAAACACAAGUCCUGAAUACUUUGCAAAAGGUUUCAAAGAAUUCAAGAAAUGUACGUUGAUGAUUAAGACGUCUAAAGUAUUUACCUCCUUAGAUUUGAUCCAAGGAAAAGUAACACUUUAGAUAAGUUUCCUUGAAAGAUAUCAAGGAAAGAAGCAUCAUAAGAUAAUGAAUUUCUCCAUUAGGAGAAGAACGAACUCGAAUAAUAUUUAGUUCGUUGGAUGUUAUCUAUUGCCCAUAUAUAGGAUAUAUACUUCUAAAACAAUAUGAUUGUAAAUUAGAAGAUCCUUCCAAAAUUUUCAUGACUCCAUAAGAUGUAGUUGGAAAGAAAGACAAAUCUCAAGCAUGUUAAGAUUUGGGGUUGUGUGCUAAUAAGCAAUAUUUGUUUGAUAACAAUCUUGUGGGAUAUCCUUAAAUUAACUUUUGGAUAUCACUUCUAUAAACCAACUAACAAAUGUUGUUUGUUGGAUAGUUCAUUAUAAUCCUACCAUAGGAUUUGCCUAAGAUAGAGCAAAUGAACGAGAGAUAGAACUCAAAUAAUGGGUUCUUUGAGAGACAAGAUGAUAAUCAACAAAUAUAACAACCUAGUUCCUAUACCACAAGCUCCAACGUAGUCAUGAAGGAUUAUAAACCGUCUCAGUUGAAUGGUUUGAACUUUAUGAAUAUGUCAUAGAGUUGCACCUCUUAAUUUGAAGAAAUAAGAAUGAAAAUCCUUAUGACUACAUUGAGUGUAUAUAUAUGAUAUAUACUCAAGGAAAUGGUAAAGUACCAUUUGACCCGAAAUAAUGAAACCUUCAUAAGCUAAUUGGUAGCUUAAGGUAACUACAAUCAAAAGGAUGGUUGACUUUGAAGAAACCAUCUUUGACGUAGUCUUGGUUUCAAUUAAUUCAAAGAUAGCUAGCUACAACUAAAUGGUGAUUCAAUGUUUGGACAUAAUAUGGGUUUCCGAAACCAUUAUUAAGAUAGUCUUAAUAAUAUAUGUCUAAAACUGUGAAUCACAAGACAUGUAAAUUGUAGAGAUCCAUCCAUCAUGAAUCUAAGCAAGCUAGUGGGAGCUAUGAGCAUCUUAUGAG
rnacentral:lncRNA from 1 species